CAGAAAGUUUAGAAAGAUCAUUGUUUAAAUGAAGGCACACAAGUUUUUAUAAAUUCAUCUCUUUAUUCUAAUCCUCUGAACUGCAUGUUUUUCAGAACCUCCUGUAGAACCUGAGUACUCUCAUGUUACAAAGGCCAACCCAGUGUAUGAGGAGAUCAGAGAGGACAGACAGAGCACAUCUCCUCCUGUAGAAGUGUCCACAGUUUACACUUACGCCAAAUACACCAAACCAGAUGGAGUAGAGACCACCGAGGACUACAGCUUAGUCACUGCACCCACUUCUCAGAUGAAAACUGAAGACGAGCUCACCUACUCUGAGCUGGAUGUCCCCAGCGGUCCAGCUGCCUCGCUGCACAGCGCCCCCUGUGGUGACGCAGAUACCGUGGUCUACUCUGUUCCUCGGGUAGAAGCCAGCUGGGCCGGCAGCCCCCCCCCAGACGCUCCACCUCCUCUGUACUCUACUGUUACUCUACAUCAGGUGUAGCUUCAACGCUGUCAGCUACAUGGACUCUCUCAGGGGCCCCCAGGGGCCACACGGGGCUUUCCAUGAGUCACAUUCACUCAAAGAAAUCUGGUUUUAUCAUUAUUGGAAACUGUGUCAGUUACAGCUCACAAUAUAUAAAUAUUUUUAUGUUUAUUGCUUUUGCA